UUAAGUAAGGCUUAUGCUUUUUUUAUUACUUAUUUUUCCUGCUUUACCUUGUCCGUUCCACACCAUGCUGGCCUUGGAUUUUCCUGCUGCUGACAGAAGCUGUCUACGUGCAGUGGGCCAAGCUACGCUGGGUGAGGUGGCCAGGGACCACGUUUGCCUGCCCCUGCCCAGCAUCAGCUUUGAAAGUUAGAAGACACCAGAGCUGAAUGCCGCAAUAGACAGAAGAGUGGUUUAGGGCUGCAGCACAACCUCUGUCACAGUUCUCUCUGGAUUUGUUUUUGAAGCAACUCUGGAUUUACCUGGGGGAAAAAAAUGUGUGAUCCGUUUUAGUGAGCACAAAGAGAAGGAAAGAGGAAUUCUUCAGUGGAAGUCAUCUGCGAAUUGCAACAAUAAGUGAAGUGCUGCAGUAGAACUCACUCUCUAAAGGUGUCCAAGAUGGAAGUUUUCCUCCUCCAGACUUGAAGAAGCAACACUCCCAUUUUCCCUACCAGCCUAAUUUUCCACGUAUUUCCAUUUUCUUGGCCAUCUAAAGUCAAUAUGCAUUAAGCAUACAUCUUCUUGUUAUGUCUCCUGGAAUAAAAACCUUACAGACAUUCAGAAAAAUUUUAAGUUUCUUUUGUGAACCACCUGCAGGAUGAGCUUGGUGUCACCUAGUGCCGAAAGGUUUGGGUACUAUCAGGUCGUGUGAGGCUGGAGAGGAAGCAGAGCUGGGCUGACACCAGAAGGGUUGCCUGCCUACUCCAUCCUAUCCCCUCAAAAGGGUGGGUUACCUCCGAUUGCCUUAAAAUAAACAAAUACCAUUUUUUGAAAUGAAUACCCCCAAAGUCAUCUUUGACUACCAGGAUUAUUUGGCCACUUGUUUUAUGGGAUAGUCAGAGCAAGCGUGAAUGUAUAGACUGUAGCUUUGUGUGUUUCAUUGUGUGCAACCCAUUUAUAGAAAAAGAGCUGUUAUGAAAGCGUUUAGCAAAACUAUAAAUGUUUAUAAUAUUAUAGCUUUUACUAUCAACUCAUCAUGCUAACAGCUAUGAUUACUGUUCUUUGUUAAUUAAAAGCUGUUUUGUAACAAAAAGCUUCAUAUUUAAUGUCAAGCUGGGCUGAAAUUAAUCUAAAAGAUAUUAAUAUGCGCACAGUAUCUGUGACCUACUCUUCGUUGUGACAUUGUGCUUUCAAAAUAUAAAAUGACCUGCUUUUCUAGCAUAUGAAUGUUUAUAUUCACUUUUUAAGAGCUUAAUGUCCAAAAUCUAAUUUUAAAAUAGCUUUUUUUCUGAUGUGUUGACAGCAACUAAUUGUUAUUCAAAGAUAAUACUAUUGCAAGCUAAGCUUGUUAAAUUAAACUGUUUGAUUUACCUUUCAUUUCUUCUGCCUCCUUAGAAAAUCUUCCUAGUUCAGUGCUGCAUGAUAUUUUCUCUAGUUGUGCAUGUGAAGAACUGUAGUCACUGGACCUUGGAGAGUACAUAGGAAGGAGUGGUAUUUUUCUUCUCUAGCAUUAGGAGCAUAGGGCACUAAAGUCUCUUCUUUUCUUCGUUCCCUCUACCUUGCUUCAAAAAAAAGCAAAGGUCCAAAAAAAUCAUUUAAUGCUGUCAUUUCAUAUUCUCCAUACUUCUGGAACAAAGCUAUUUAAGCCUGCGAUCUAAAUAGCUGUUCACAGCUGCUGCCAGCUUAUACCCUGGUGCUAGUUAGAGCUGCUCACUGUAACGCUGGAGAGACCCCUUUUAAAUAUAGUAUUUUGACAAACUUUAAACACUGUGUUCUUUGGUUAGAUUCCUUGUCUAAGCCUCUUUGUAUUUCACACAUUUAGGAGUACUGACAUUAAGCUCAUCUCUGUUAAAUGUGGCGAGCUGUAAUCACUUAAUGAGAAACAAUUUUUAAGAACAAAUAGAGGUAAUUCAGCACUACUAGUAUAACAUUGCAUAAAAUGUUCUUUGCACUAGUCAGUUUUCCAAACAGCACAGUCAUGUUUGGUUUUGGCAAGGUCCUCUGGUUCUACACUGCCGUUGUAGCUGAGCUACUCUGUACCAGGUUUUUAACUACACUUUUCCAGUAGCUUUUACUCAGCCUUCCUGAGCAUUUAGAGCAUUUCUAAAGAGAAAAUACAAAGCUAAACCAAAGGCAGUUAUGUUUAUAUUGGGAAAAUAUUUGUAACAUUGAGAAAUAACUUUUCAUCAUCUCUCUCAAUUCUUAUCUAUUUAUUCCAUAAUCCUAUCAAAGUAAAGAUAAGAAAAUAAAUGGCUGGAUCGUAUGUUGGUGCUCUUGUGUAGAGUAUGUAAAGUGGCCCACUGAAACUUCUGACCUACUGGUCUCGCUUCCCAGGUAAGGAUUUUCUAAUUCUUUCUUCCAGUUCACUCUUACGUUGCCUUCUUCUUGACUUUGAGAAGCAUCACCAGUCUCUGUUUGUUUUGAUUUAAAACUAUUUUAUUUUUUUUGAGGAAGAGUGAAGUGAAAAAUAAAAAGUUAGAGAUAAUGAAACUUUCUCUUUCUGCAUAAAGUAGGAUAGCUUAGUAUUAUUUUAAAGAACAAAAGUAUGUUGUCCAUGUUUUAACCAAAACAAUUAACUUUUAAAAAAAUCUUGCUACUAAUUUGCAUCAACAUCGUUGUACCAAACAAGUUGUACCACUGUGGGAUUUACUACUCUAAAAGUCUGUAGCAUCACAGACUUCAAACUUCUUUUAUACUAGAAUGGAUGACAAGGAUUUGAGUAUCUAAGUAGCAUAUAGGUGCAAAAUAUUCAAAAUAAAUACUAAGAAAUAUGCAGAAAAUAUUAAUUGGAAAGGAAUGGCAAUUGAUGGCAUUGAGUUGUGUUGAUGUGUUGUUGGCAAAGAGUUUGUGUUGACAUGGAAAGGAAUUAUAUAUGUUCUGUUUAGUGGACUUCUGUAACGCAUUAUGUUUUUUUUAGCUGCUGUAUUAAAGAUGGCUUGGGCUUCCCUCAGUGGAAGCUUUAAUGACUAGCUUGAAACCAUUUUCUUUUAAGGAAUUAGUAUUUAGACAUAACAUUAGCUAUGGAGGUAAUUAGAAUAAUUAAUGAAUAAAAUUGCAAGGACUGUAAUUUGCAUUGCCUAAUAUCGACUUUUAUAGCUUUCUUUAAAGGUUUUUGCUAAUUAAAAUGUUAAAUUGGUUUAAUUUCAAGAACAGGAUAUGGAAAAAAGCAUUGUGUUAGUUUCUUUGUGGGCUGCAUUUGACUUGAUGCUUAAUUGAAAUCAAGCCUGGAUUAAUAAUUCACUCUUUUCUCUAAGCACAUACACUGAUUCAAAAAAAAAUUGCUUAUUUUUAAAAAAAUCUGAAAUUUAAGUUUGUUUUCCAGUUGGAUUUGCUUGUUUUUACAAGGAUUAAAUAUUUCACCUUACAGCGAGUGUUGGUGGAGAGAGAGAGGGAAGGAGAGAGAGAUGGGCUUCUAGAUGGGCCUUUGAGUUCAGUUUUGUGCCAAAACCAGAUCCUUCCAAGAGUAAAAAAAAAAUGCCCUUUAACAGGUUUUGAAGUGAUUGGCAUGCUGCAUUGGUGUUUGAAUUGAGCAAAGGUAACAACAUUUGUAUCUGAGAAAAACUAGAAGCACUACAGCUAUUUUAAGCAUUGAUAUUGUAUCUAACUUUCUAUAGUUUGUUAUUCCUCCAAAUUCAUGAUUCUACUUAGGAAGUUCCUUUCUGGUCUUCGAAAUCAUUGUAAAAAAUGGGCAUUGCUAACUGAUGUGGGAGUGGCAUCCCAGAGCUUCUGAUCUCUGGUGUUAAACCUUUUGAAGUAGAAAAAAUAAUAGCUUAGAAAAACCUGGUUGAAGAUUACUUUAAGAAAAAUGGAUUUAAUAAGUGGUUGCUUAAUUGACAUGUGACCUAUAAGGUUAGAGAUGCCAGACAGCAAAAACACGGUGAAAGAGCUGGGCUAAACUUUAAGUAAUGCUUUCAAAUGCUAUUACACAUACAGAUUGUAAUCAAAAUGACUAUUUUAUCUAAAGCCCAAGUAGAGACCAUAAGAAUUGGUACUUUAUAAUUAUCAGUAAAUUGCUCAGGCUGUUGCUCAGCCCAGCUAAUUGCCUUCCUUUCUAUGCUUUCUUCUAAUCAAAGAGAAAACAAAAGUAUGAGCCAGCUCAGUGUUGUGUAGCAGCAGUGUUGUGUAGCAGCAGCUGUCACGCUCACGGGUGUUUGCCUGGUGAAGCAAGUUUGGGGCUGCCUGUUGGAAUGGGGUGCUUUUGGGUUUAAGGUAAUUACUGUCUUUGGGUACUGCUGGAUAUGGCAGGGCCUUCAGCAUUUAUCUCGGGAUACCAUACCCUGUGCCUAUCCUUAACUGUGUAUAGAACAUUUAGAGUUUCUUUGCUUGUAGUAUGUGUCUAAGUUUUGUGGAUAAUAGAACUAAAUUACCAUUUUUUCAAUCUUUUAGGUAUUGUUAUGCUUCUAAAAACAUUCAUGAGAUAAUAAAAACUUUUUUAUUUCAGUCAUAAA